AGACCCGAAACCCGGUGAUCUAGCCAUGGGCAGGUUGAAGGUUGGGUAACACUAACUGGAGGACCGAACCGACUAAUGUUGAAAAAUUAGCGGAUGACCUGUGGCUGGGGGUGAAAGGCCAAUCAAACCGGGAGAUAGCUGGUUCUCCCCGAAAGCUAUUUAGGUAGCGCCUCGUGAAUUCAUCUCCGGGGGUAGAGCACUGUUUCGGCUAGGGGGCCAUCCCGGCUUACCAACCCGAUGCAAACUGCGAAUACCGGAGAAUGUUAUCACGGGAGACACACGGCGGGUGCUAACGUCCGUCGUGAAGAGGGAAACAACCCAGACCGCCAGCUAAGGUCCCAAAGUCAUGGUUAAGUGGGAAACGAUGUGGGAAGGCCCAGACAGCCAGGAUGUUGGCUUAGAAGCAGCCAUCAUUUAAAGAAAGCGUAAUAGCUCACUGGUCGAGUCGGCCUGCGCGGAAGAUGUAACGGGGCUAAACCAUGCACCGAAGCUGCGGCAGCGAACGUAUCACUUAAAGCGAUUCAGCGGGUUACGAUUGACGGAGCGAAGCGACGUCAAAGCGUAUACAAAGUCGAGUCGGUUUAAGGAUACGUUCGUUGGGUAGGGGAGCGUUCUGUAAGCCUGCGAAGGUGGCCUGUGAGGGUUGCU
rnacentral:rRNA from 1 species